rnacentral:lncRNA from 1 species
GUGCUCACAAGUUUAUAUUUUUAGGUUUGAUAAAAGAUUCUUGUGUAUUUUCUAAAUACACAGACAAAACAGUUUUGGAAGUUUACAUACAUGUCUUAGGACACUUAUAUUAGGUAGGUAAAUUACAUUUUAAAAAAUUGGUCUUCGUAAAAGAUCCUCCCAGAGAGCUUUUACAAACAGCAGGCAGAAAAAAAAAAAGUGUUCUUUUAUGCUUACAGUGUUUAAAAUGUUGAUUCUCCCAUUUCAUAAUGGCCUCAACCAUUUCUCUCCUUAACUCAAAAUUUUGUUCUCAACAGAUGUCAUAAAAUUCGGGGUUAGAAAACAUCUUUUAAAGUGUGCUUAUCCCUAAUGCAUUCUGAACUACUGAGAAGUGUUUAACUUCAGUUGAAAGCAGGGAUACAGCAGGAAAAAAACCACUUUCCAUUUUUAAAUCCUAAUGUGAUUAUAAGAAAAAUGCCUGUUUGUUAUUUCUAAGAGUGUAUAUUAUGUACCAUGUAAGUUUAAGGAUCCGGGUGACUGAACGGCACAAAAACUGGGGUUCAUAUCUAGUCUUCAGUUUAAAAAAAUCAUCUUUUUAAAAAUGAAAAUGCCACAACCCACUAACAGCAUAUGCUACACUGGGGUUGUGUCUUAUUUAAGACCAAAUGACAAAACAAUUGCUUUAUCAAAAAGAAAUAGUAGUAAGGAUGUUUAUCUGGGGGAAGGACACACAAAAUUUCUAACAUAGCUAUUUUAUAGAGUCAAUAUAAAUCUCCAUAGACAGACUUCUUUAAAGAGUUGCAAUUCUACAAAAAAAGUUGUUUAAUGAGGCAGCACGACAGCCUCCUAGAAAUCAUGAGCUUCAGAAUCAGACCUGACCAAAUCUCAGCUCUAUUACAGCUGCAUGAAAUUUGGCAAGAUUCUGAAUCUGAGCCUUUCCUUGUCUAUAAAAUGGAGAAAAUAGCACCUACCUCAGAAGGGUGAAAUAAUGCAUACAGCAUAAUGGCAAGUGUGGGCACUCAAAAAGCAUUGGUAGCUUCUGGAAUCAUUACUCAGAAAAAUGAAUCUAAAACCUUUCAUGCUCUGUUCAGAAAAUCAUAAAAAAUGCUUUUGAAGUUUUAAAUUUCAACAUUAAAAAUAACCCUGGUUUUUCAUAUUUUCUUCAUAAUACACGGUUCGAGUCAUCUUUAGGUUUUAUUAUUAUAUUGUAUUGAUACAAAUUCCAAGUCCAAAUCCUUUCAUUUCCUAUUUGCUUCCUGCUUUCCACUAUCUUUUCUCAUGGUUCACAUUUGUCAUUAAACAACUAAAAUGUAUGGUAUACCUAGGAUGUACCAGUGUUCUAAGAACUUUCCAUUAACUCAUUCACUCACUCUUCUCUCUCAGGAUGGCUCCAUUUAAAUUAGCUAGCAUCUCCUCCCACAAAAAAAUUUUCACAGCUACAUGUCCAGGUUCCCCUUCCUAUACAGUGUUUUUUUAAAUAAGCUCUCAAUUGCUAGGAUGCUAAAAUUUAGCAAAUUAUCUAAAAUGAGGGCCAAGAACCAUGACAAAGGGAACCAGAUGGAAGUAACUGUUUCAAGAAUCUUAAAAAAUAAUAUGAUCUUGGUUUAUGAAAGGGCCUGUUACUACAGAGUGAAUGUGAAAGUUUAUAAACUUCCCCUUAAUUAAAAUUAAAAGCUCUAAAAUAUUUUUCAUUUAAAAUAUAAAUUACAAGAGAAAACUUCACCAAAUGUGUAACACAUAAUUCUGCCAGAGUUUCACAGACAAAAUUAUGAGUACUCAUUCCACUGAUACCUCUGAGACCAAUCAUAAGUCCUUAAUAUCUAUCAACUUCCUGAAAUUGUUGUACUUUAAGUCAGAAAAAAG